CUACGGGUUGCUGCAGGCGAGAAAACUUUGCAAUGUGCGAAAGCACGACAAGGUUAAUCCGAGUGGUUUGUGCUAAACGAACCUUUUGACAGUCCUAGAAACACUGUUGAAUAAGGGGUGGGCAAGUUCUGGUGUCAGCCGCCGCGGUAAAACCAGCACCUCAAGUGGUCAGGAUGAUUAUUGGGCCUAAAGCAUCCGUAGCCGGCUCUGUAAGUUUUCGGUUAAAUCUGUACGCUCAACGUACAGGCUGCCGGGAAUACUGCAGAGCUAGGGAGUGGGAGAGGUAGACGGUACUCGGUAGGAAGGGGUAAAAUCCUUUGAUCUAUUGAUGACCACCUGCGGCGAAGGCGGUCUACCAGAACACGUCCGACGGUGAGGGAUGAAAGCUGGGGGAGCAAACCGGAUUAGAUACCCCGGUAGUC
rnacentral:rRNA from 1 species